GGUACCAAGGUCAAUAAUAUUCUACUUUUUGGUCUCUGGACCGAAGGUCCAUGGUGAUUCUACCUGAAGGACUGGGUGGUGUUAGGCAGGAUGUCCCAAGCUGUCAUCCUUGGGGCUGGUCAGGGGAGCCGUGUGAAGACUGGAGUCAGCCUGCAGAGGGCAGUGUGAGACCGCAGCGCGGGAGCUGAGGGGCCGGGCCAGCGCGGCUCCUAAUAGAGGCCACCUGUAGUGUUUCAAGAUAAAUUACGUUAGAUGGGGAAACUAGUCUAUUGGAUUUACAGUCAAUGUGUGCUAGUUAGCUUCACCCCAAAGAAAGUCUUUCUAAGAUUUUCCCCUCUUCCCCAAUUCAAGACAUCAAGUAGCGCGCCUGGCUGAGUGGCAAACCUGUCCUCUCUUCUCUUCAGGGGUGUGAGCGUCGCGUGUAAAUCCCCGUGAUGACGAUUGAGAGGAUAUUUAGUGGCUUACGACGCAUGGAAAUUUAACUGCCCCGGGUGCUAAGGCAGCUCUGCGUGUGGAGAGACACUUCUUUAAUAAUAACAAUAACCCAGGCACCUUCUAAAUCUUUUCUAGAGCAGUAGGACCUGUAGUGAGUUGGCUGCAGGAGGCUUGCUCCCUAGCUGGUUCUGGGUGCUCAGGGUUCUGGGUGGCUUCUUAGAGAGGGGGAGGUUGGUGGGUCGGAGGGAAUGGCUGGUCUGGAGGCUAAAUGCUUUAGAGUCAGAGAGACUUGGGUUCAAACUUGGUUCUCUGAUUUCCUCUACUAUGGGAUAAUCCUGGUAGCAAUUUCCUAGAGUUGCUGUAUCGUGAGCUCACACGUGUGAUGUGCUUAGCCCAGCGAGCAUAGAAAAGAGUUUCCAGGACGUGGUAUCAUUGCUGACAUUCAAUUCACAAAUAUUUACUGAGCACCGAUUAGGGGAUUUGACGUCAAGUAAUAUCAACGAGAUCCUUACCCUCAGGUCUAGUGAGAAAGACAGACAUUUCGCCCUUGUGGUGUCAAGGCAGUGCUUGAGGUGGGGGCAGGGGAGAAAAGUGACAAAGGCCGUGGACUGGGGCCAGAGUGCCUGGAUUUGAAUCCAGCUCUGUUACUUCUAGCUGUGCGGCCCUUGGAGAGCCUCACACUCUACUACUUCUGAUCCUUUGGGGCCUUGCAAGAAAGUCAAUGGAAUUAAUACUUACAAAGUAUUAGAAUGAUGACGGGCAUGAUUAAGUGUCAGCAGUCUAUAACUGUUGAUUGAGUAUGAUGAGCUCUAAAGGGAGAAGAUCAGGUGCUGUGCAAGUGUAUUAUAGAAAGAAGCAAGUGAAGUUCCAUGCGGGGAGAUGGGUCCAAAAUAAACUAAGAGGGGAAAAGAAUAUUAGGUAGGUUAACACAUGUUCUUAUGGAAUAAUCUGCAAGAUAGAUGAUGAUGGGUAAAAAGCCACAGGGCAGUCCAGUAUGAACUGCCUGCCCCCACUGAUGCAAAAAAUCCCCAUACAAAUCUGUUUGUCUGUCUGUCUGUCUAUCUAUCUACCUAUCUAUGUGCUUACUCACCAACUAUUUUAGGCAGGAUGUACUCAGAGGUUGCUAAUAGUAUUGCCUUGGGGGUUAAUCUAAGAAAUUGUAAUGGGAAGAAUACUUAUUUUUUGGACAGUUUGAAAUUUAUGACUUUAUUAUUUAACUAGAAAAAUGACCAAGUAAGAAGAUACAUGUCUAUAUAUCUUUUCAGACUAAAAGAUAAAUAGUGAAACUAGGGCAAGGCUUGAGUUUCAGGUAAUGCAGGCCAAGCUCCCAGGCCCCUCUAGGAAAAGAGAAACAGCCCCUUUCUGCAUAGAAUCUUAGACCCCAUCAGCAGUCCACAGAUUUUUCCUAAGGCAGAGCCUUUCCUCUUAUCCUCAGCUGUUUCUCAAGCCUCUGUCUGACCUCCCAGGUUUUUUCUCUUAUUGUGCUGUUCCACACCACUCACUUUAACCUGAUUUUGGUGUCUCUGUUCCUUUUUGGACCCAAACAGAAAGAGACGGCACACAAUGAGAAGAGACUUUGGAACUCAAGUUUUGGCAGGAAGCAGGCUAAGAAUACUACUCAGGUUCAAAUGCAAGGUUUUUCUUAUGGAAAAAAAAGGUGACCUGGAACAUAGAAUCAAGAGUCCAUGGGUGGAACCAAGGUCUGUGAAGGAUUAUUCCCCAGGGAGCGUCCUAAUCAAGGAACUACUGACUUGCGCUAGGCUGGAUUUCAGAACCGCUGUGGACCAGUGAUUGCCAUGUGUCUGGAAUUCUCAUGUUUUUUGAACAGGAGUGUCUAUUUUCUUAUCCUGGGCAGGUUUCUUUAUUGCAUGUAGGGUACACACUAUGUUGGGAAUGUUAGAGACAGAAAACUUGAUUUCUCUCUUUAGCUCACAAGUCUUCAAAGCAACAGAAACUGUACCUGAUGAUGAUACCUGAGAAGCCUUGUCCACACCUGGGCCUGGUCUAGUCGACUAGAUACUGGACCUGAGCCUAAGUCUAAUAUUGUAAAGAGGGUGAGACUGGAUUUUUUUUCCUAGGAGUUCCUGUCAUGACGCAGCAGAAAUGAAUCUGAUUAGGAACCAUGAGGUUGCAGGUUCCAUCCCUGGCCUUGCUCAAUGGGUUAAGGAUCCGGCAUUGCCAUGUGCUUUAGGUCACAGAUGUGGCUUUGAUCUGGUGCUGCUGUGGCCAUGGCAUAGGCUGGAGGCUACAGCUCCAAUUAGACCCCUAGCCUGGGAAUCUCCAUAUGCCAUGGAGACCAAAAAAAAAAAAAAAAAAAAAAGAAAAA
rnacentral:lncRNA from 1 species